rnacentral:lncRNA from 1 species
UCACCUUAGAAUGUUAGGAAUAUUACAUCCCACGAGAACCGACUACAAUCUAAUUACACUAACAAAUAGAUGCAAAAUAAAAUUAAUAUUGAACUGAUUUAAUAUGAGUAGAAAAUUAAUAUUAAAACUAUUCUAGCUUAUAGAUCGGAGGCAUGCAAAGUACUGCCCUAAGGCAAUUUUCAACUCUUGUGUGGGAUUUGACUCAAGUGAUCUAUCCUAAAAUACAAUCGAAGGACCUUCCUGGUGGGCAUGAUCGUGGAGAGAAAGACAGAGCCUCGACCCAGCAGAUAAAAGAUUAAAAAUUAAAAAAAAAAAAUAGAAGAAAGAUCUCUAAAGAAUGAGAGAAUAACCGAGAGAAGGGAGGAAGAGAGUUCUUUCUUUCU